AUGGCGACGGUGGCGCGCGCGGUGGGCGACGUGGCCGCGGAGGGCAACACGUACCUCAUCGCCGGCGCCGUGGCCGUGGCGCUCGUCGGCACCGCCUUCCCCAUCUUCUUCUCCCGCAAGGACACGUGCCCCGAGUGCGACGGCGCCGGGUUCGUGCGCAAGUCCGGCGCGACGCUGCGGGCGAACGCGGCGAGGAAGGACCAGGCGCAGAUCGUGUGCGCCAACUGCAACGGCCUCGGCAAGCUCGGCCAGAUCGACAAGUAG
rnacentral:rRNA from 1 species